rnacentral:rRNA from 1 species
GGGCCCGCACAAGCGGUGGAGCAUGUGGUUUAAUUCGAUGAUACGCGAGGAACCUUACCAGGGCUUAAAUGCAGAACGACCGGGGUGGAAACACCCCUUCUUCGGCGGUCUGCAAGGUGCUGCAUGGUUGUCGUCAGCUCGUGCUGUGAAGUGUCGGGUUAAGUCCCAUAACGAGCGCAACCCCUAUUUCUAGUUGCCAGCGGUUCGGCCGGGGACUCUAGAGAAACUGCCUGCGUAAGCAGUGAGGAAGGUGGGGAUGACGUCAAAUCAUCACGGCCCUUACGUCCUGGGCCACACACGUGCUACAAUGGUGGGGACAACAAGUUGCCAACCCGCGAGGGUGAGCUAAUCUCAAAACCCCAUCUCAGUUCGGAUCGGAGUCUGCAACUCGACUCCGUGAAGUUGGAAUCGCUAGUAAUCGCGCAUC